rnacentral:rRNA from 1 species
GACAGAGGUGCCGAGCGUUAGGCGGAAUCACUGGGCGUAAAGCGCACGUAGGCGGAUUUCUAAGUCAGGGGUGAAAUCCUGGAGCUCAACUCCAGAACUGCCUUUGAUACUGGGAAUCUCGAGUCCGGGAGAGGUGAGUGGAACUGCGAGUGUAGAGGUGAAAUUCGUAGAUAUUCGCAAGAACACCAGUGGCGAAGGCGGCUCACUGGCCCGGUACUGACGCUGAGGUGCGAAAGCGUGGGGAGCAAACAGG